rnacentral:rRNA from 1 species
UCUCAGUUCGGACUGUGGUCUGCAACUCGACCACACGAAGCUGGAAUCGCUAGUAAUCGCGAAUCAGCAUGUCGCGGUGAAUACGUUCCCGGGUCUUGUACACACCGCCCGUCACACCAUGGGAGUCAGCAACGCCCGAAGUCAGUGACCUAACCGAGAGGAAGGAGCUGCCGAAGGCGGGGCAGGUAACUGGGGUGAAGUCGUAACAAGGUAUC